rnacentral:tRNA from 1 species
AGUGAGAUGCCUGAAUAAAGGAUUACUUUGAUAGAGUAAAUCAUGCACAAUUAUGCUCUUACUA